rfam:Haemonchus contortus, ISE/inbred ISE, WGS project CAVP01000000 data, contig: Hcontortus_contig_pathogens_Hcontortus_scaffold_12083
GGCCCAAAUUUGAAAUAGAGUAGAUUAGGAGAAUCAUCUGACCCUACUAAACUACACUACUUCGAGUUUGUGCCC